GUCCACGCCCUAAACGAUGAUAACUCGAUGUUGGCGAUAUACAGUCAGCGUCCAAGCGAAAGCGUUAAGUUAUCCACCUGGGGAGUACGCCCGCAAGGGUGAAACUCAAAGGAAUUGACGGGGGCCCGCACAAGCGGAGGAGCAUGUGGUUUAAUUCGAUGAUACGCGAGGAACCUUACCCGGGCUUGAAAGUUAGUGAAUCAUUUAGAGAUAGAUGAGUCCGCAAGGACACGAAACUAGGUGCUGCAUGGCUGUCGU
rnacentral:rRNA from 1 species